UACAGAGGUCUCAAGCGUUGUUCGGAUUCAUUGGGCGUAAAGGGUGCGUAGGCGGCGCGGUAAGUCGGGUGUGAAAUCUCGGGGCUUAACUCCGAAACUGCAUUCGAUACUGCCGUGCUUGAGGACUGGAGAGGAGACUGGAAUUUACGGUGUAGCGGUGAAAUGCGUAGAUAUCGUAAGGAAGACCAGUGGCGAAGGCGGGUCUCUGGACAGUUCCUGACGCUGAGGCACGAAGGUCAGGGGAUCAAACGGG
rnacentral:rRNA from 1 species